UACGUAGGGGGCAAGCGUUGUCCGGAUUUAUUGGGCGUAAAGAGCGUGUAGGCGGCCAGACAGGUCUGCUGUGAAAACUCGAGGCUCAACCUCGAGACGCCGGUGGAAACCGUUUGGCUAGAGUCCGGAAGAGGAGAGUGGAAUUCCUGGUGUAGCGGUGAAAUGCGCAGAUAUCAGGAAGAACACCCGUGGCGAAGGCGGAUCUCUGGGCCAUUACUGACGCUGAGGAGCGAAAGCGUGGGGAGCGAACAGG
rnacentral:rRNA from 1 species